GACGAACCGUGCGAACGUUGUUCGGAAUUACUGGGCGUAAAGGGCUCGUAGGUGGCCAACUAAGUCAGACGUGAAAUCCCUCGGCUUAACCGGGGAACUGCGUCUGAUACUGGAUGGCUAGAGAUUGGGAGAGGGAUGCGGAAUUCCAGGUGUAGCGGUGAAAUGCGUAGAUAUCUGGAGGAACACCGGUGGCGAAGGCGGCAUCCUGGACCAACACUGACGCUGAGGAGCGAAAGCCAGGGGAGCAAACGGG
rnacentral:rRNA from 1 species